rnacentral:rRNA from 1 species
GACGAACGCUGGCGGCGUGCCUAAUACAUGCCAGUAGAACGCACAGUUUAUACCGUAGCUUGCUACACCAUAGACUGUGAGUUGCGAACGGGUGAGUAACGCGUAGGUAACCUGCCUGGUAGCGGGGGAUAACUAUUGGAAACGAUAGCUAAUACCGCAUAAUAUUAAUUAUUGCAUGAUAAUUAAUUGAAAGGUGCAAUUGCACCACUACCAGAUGGACCUGCGUUGUAUUAGCUAGUAGGUGAGGUAACGGCUCACCUAGGCGACGAUACAUAGCCGACCUGAGAGGGUGAUCGGCCACACUGGGACUGAGACACGGCCCAGACUCCUACGGGAGGCAGCAGUAGGGAAUCUUCGGCAAUGGACGAAAGUCUGACCGAGCAACGCCGCGUGAGUGAAGAAGGUUUUCGGAUCGUAAAGCCCUGUUGUAAGAGAAGAACGGGUGUGAGAGUGGAAAGUUCACACUGUGACGGUAUCUUACCAGAAAGGGACGGCUAACUACGUG